CCUACGGGGGGCAGCAGUGAGGAAUAUUGGUCAAUGGACGAGAGUCUGAACCAGCCAAGUAGCGUGAAGGAUGACUGUCCUAUGGGUUGUAAACUUCUUUUAUAAGGGACUAAAACGAGGCACGUGUGCCUUUUUGCAUGUACUUUAUGAAUAAGGAUCGGCUAACUCCGUGCCAGCAGCCGCGGUAAUACGGAGGAUCCGAGCGUUAUCCGGAUUUAUUGGGUUUAAAGGGAGCGUAGAUGGGUUGUUAAGUCAGUUGUGAAAUUUUGAGGCUCAACCGUAAAAUUGCAAUUGAUACUGGCAGUCUUGAGUACAGUUGAGGUAGGCGGAAUUCGUGGUGUAGCGGUGAAAUGCUUAGAUAUCACGAAGAACCCCGAUUGCGAAGGCAGCUUACUAAACUGUGACUGACAUUGAUGCUCGAAAGUGUGGGUAUCAAACAGGAUUAGAUACCCCUGUAGUC
rnacentral:rRNA from 1 species